CCUACGGGUGACAGCAGUGAGGAAUAUUGGUCAAUGGACGAGAGUCUGAACCAGCCAAGUAGCGUGAAGGAUGACUGCCCUAUGGGUUGUAAACUUCUUUUAUAUGGGAAUAAAAUGUUCCACGUGUGGGAUUUUGUAUGUACCAUAUGAAUAAGGAUCGGCUAACUCCGUGCCAGCAGCCGCGGUAAUACGGAGGAUCCGAGCGUUAUCCGGAUUUAUUGGGUUUAAAGGGCGCGUAGGUGGAUUGUUAAGUCAGUUGUGAAAGUUUGCGGCUCAACCGUAAAAUUGCAGUUGAAACUGGCAGUCUUGAGUACAGUAGAGGUGGGCGGAAUGCGUGGUGUAGCGGUGAAAUGCUUAGAUAUCACGAAGAACUCCGAUUGCGAAGGCAGUUCACUGGACUGCAACUGACACUGAGGCUCGAAAGUGUGGGUAUCAAACAGGAUUAGAUACCCGAGUAGUC
rnacentral:rRNA from 1 species